rnacentral:rRNA from 14 species
CCACGCGAAGGCCGGCCAUUGCUGUCGUAAGGGCACUGGAAAACCUGCCGGUGGGCGAAGAGUGCCAAGAGGGGGUGGGGAGGAGAUAGCUGGUCUGCGCCGAAAUCGCUUGAGC